rnacentral:rRNA from 1 species
AAAUUGAAGAGUUUGAUCAUGGCUCAGAUUGAACGCUGGCGGCAGGCCUAACACAUGCAAGUCGAGCGGCAGCGGGAAA